rnacentral:rRNA from 1 species
UACAGAGGUCUCAAGCGUUGUUCGGAUUCAUUGGGCGUAAAGGGUGCGUAGGUGGCGCUGUAAGUCGGGUGUGAAAUUUCGGAGCUUAACUCCGAAACUGCAUUCGAUACUGCGGUGCUUGAGGACUGGAGAGGAGACUGGAAUUCAUGGUGUAGCAGUGAAAUGCGUAGAGAUCAUGAGGAAGACCAGUGGCGAAGGCGGGUCUCUGGACAGUUCCUGACACUGAGGCACGAAGGCUAGGGGAGCAAACGGG